CGCGCCCGCCCCCCUCCGCGCCCGCCGCGAACGCCACCACCCACUCCCGAGCGUCACCCCUCCUUAACCCUAGCUGCCACAACAUCACGAAAGGACCGGAUCUUGGUGAGCUCGAGGGUACAUGACGCGGUUCUUCCUAUCGCGGCAGGUGACCAGGACCUCUAUCCCCUCCUUGAUGGAGGUCGGGGACUGGGAUGGAGGCCAGGGACUCGACGGCGGUGGGCCUGGAGGUGGCGGCAAAGGCCUCGGCGUCGACGGCCGCGGCGGUGCGCAUUUCUCGGCUCGUUCAUUCUUGUGCCCUCCUUCGAUUACUUCAUUUCGUCGCGUCCCAAAUCGGUCGAUGGAAAAUGGAAUCUCGAUGGCUUUUGUUAAAUCUGGAUUGCUAUGCAUGUCUAGCGAUGCACUUGGAUUUUUGGUACAGUGAGAUUGGUAGCCGCACAUGGGGAAUCUCGAUGGCUUUUGUUAAAUCUGGAUUGCUAUGCAUGUCUAGCGAUACACUUGGAUUUCUGGUACCGUGAGAUUGGUAGUUGCAGAUGGAUACAGGGGGCCUUAGUGAAGUGGCAGCAGAAGACCUGAAUAUGGGGGUGGACACAUCUUCUCAUCUGGACGUUGAAGCAAUGUCUUCAGUUCCUUGGUGGUGGUCGGUUAAUGCUUCUUUGUAACAGGUGCAAUGUCUUUUCUGUUUUUGAACCCUGUGUCUGUCUUCUGUAAGCUGCCACGGUUGGCUGGUGUGUUUUUCUGCUUUUUCAUUAGCUAUUGUUGUUAAAACUUUGCCCUGGCUCCGGUUGGUGCUAGGUGUUCUGGCAUUUAAACUUGAGCUGUAAUGGAUAUCUGGUCUAUUACUAUCAGCAAAAGGCCGGGGCUAUUUUGGCCCUUGAACUCUACAAAAAUCCCCAAUGUCACGGACAACAUCUCAAUUAAUGUUUAUAGUUGUGGUCACAACAACGAUAGCUGAAAGUGGGUAAAUGUUUUCAUACUUUUAGUGGCCUCGUAACCAAGAUUUUAACCAUCUACUUAUGGAAUAUGUCCCCAUCUUACCGAAACUUUGCCUACAGUUUCAUCCUUCUCCAUCCUCGUUCUCCCCGUUCUCCCACCUCCCCGACGCCCGCCCACUUGUUAUCCAGGUGUUUCGCUUUAGUGAUUGUGAUUUCCUUAUUGACUUUGCCGAUUCUAGCAUAUAAUUGUCUAACUACAGUGAUUCACUGUUUCCAUACUCUUGCAGCACGCCAGCACCAGACGUGGAAAACUCCGUCAUGCAACUAUUGUCAAUUGCAAAUUGUUGGUGGAUGGCCUCAAAUCGGCAUGUCCUUGUAUUGUCUGUGAGGCUUUGAGUGUUGCUGCUCUUGAAAAUGGGGGUGUCACCUUCUAAGCUUGAAGAUGACAAGGUCCUUGUGUUAUGUCAGGAGAGGGAGUGUUUUGUUAGAGAAGCGCUAGACAGAAAUCGUGUGAAUUUUUUUUCAUACUAUUGGUUUCAUUCCAUUGUGAUUACUUUUUUUACUUUAGCUUCUUAAUCUUCACUGGACAUUCUUCAUGUGGAUGUAGAAUUGAAGAAAUCCCAAUUAUUCUUGAGGAAGAUAAAAUCCAGUUCCGUCAUCUACUGUGUGGAGAUUGGAGAAAUAGCACAUGGAUCAAAGCCAUCAAGUUUUUUGGCAGCAUUGUUUGCUUACUUCAUGGAGGAUGCCACUGUUCCUAAAUAUCAGUGUCCUCAAAACUUUCACCAUCUAGAAAUCUUCUUGGGACUAAUGCUGGCAGCCAUAUCUCAACACUUGAUAGAUUGUAUUUCUGGGAGAGCAAGCUUUAUGAUGAAGCCAAGGCCAGCAGUGCCAUCUGCAGGAAGUACGGUGGGAAAUGUAAGAAGCUAAGACUUCAUGAAUCAAGAGGGGUGAAUCAAAUUGAUAACGAUUUUACCCGUGCGGCAAGGGAAAGAUGUCAGUAUCACUGCAUCCUCCAAGAUGAUCGGAUAUGCUCUUCAGUGUUAUAUGCUCGUCAUGUGCAGGACCCAUCAAUAAGAGAGAUGGCUGAGCAAAUUGCAAGUGACCCUGUGUUCAACCAGAUGGUUGAACAGCUUCAGAAAAGUGCUCAGAGCAUCUUGGGAAUGCCCUUAUGAUCCUGCUAUGUCCAGAAUGCUUGAGAACUUGACCAUUCUGGCUCAUAAGGAGUAGCUUGAGGAGAGGAUGGCCCGUAUCAAGGAUGAUCCAUCCUUGAAGCCAAUUCUUGAUGAGAUAGAUAAUGGGCGUCCAUCUGCAAUGAGCUUUCCAAAACAUUUCUCCCGAAGCUAGAUACAGUCUACUAUAUCCACAAUUUCAAGGGAGCUAAAGGGGAACGCCUUUUCAGGUGCUACCCUGAGCCUUGGAAGGUCAUGAGAAAGGCAUCGUCCUACAGCUACAUCUGCCUGCAUCAACAAGAGGAGAUGCCUUCGUUGAAGGAAGUGUCCCUCGACAUCCUUCCUUCUGUUUAGCUAGGACCUCUCGAGAGUUGUUGUGUCAAUAAGAGAGUUUACGCGACUAGAUCUUCAUUUCUCACUUCUUUGGUUUAUACCUAUGCUGACCGGUGACUGCUAAGUUGCAUAUUGCCGCUAUCAGAAGUUUUCCAUGGAGCACUGUGAUCUAUGUAGGGGGUUGCCAGAUUGAAACCAUAACGUUCUUUUGUCUCCCCUCACAUGCCACUGUGCCACCAUAGCCUUCUCCAUCAGAAUCGUCUUCUCUGGUAUCCAUGCAUUUCUGGGCAUUUCUGGAACGACUCUCUCUCUUUUUAAUCGGAAAGCUCGUUUCCAUUAGGCACCAUCUCCAGCCAAAUCAGUGGAGACCACCUUGAUACAAAGGUGGAGACUUGGCUCAUGAACACAGUCAAACCAGAGCUAACCCCGCCCCAUACAUUACAAGGCAAUUAAUCCAUAAUUUUGUUGCAAUUUCUCGUCCUGUGCAUUUGUUGUCUGUACAAAUAUUCUUUUGGAUACGCCUUUACUGAUUGAGUGUGCGGUGCUCUUCCUUUCUCAAUGUCUUCUGUGAGCAGUAUGAGACCUGCCUUUUAAUUUCUAUGGCAAAGUACGUGCACAUACAUAUAUAUUUUAUAAAGUAUGUAAACCUCUAACAUUUAAAAGAUGCUAACAAGAGCAUAGAACGACAGUUAGUCCUUCUAUAUCUCAAUAUAUCUUAAUAUAACAUGUUGACUCCGUAACAACGCACGAGUACAUACCUAGUAGAUAUAGAUAUAGAUAUAAACAUAGAUAUAGAUAAAUUUGACCAGUCAUCUUAUUUGAAAAAAUGUCCGUAAUGCUAAUCUUCUGGUUUGGACAGCGGAGGAUGCUAAUCUUCUUGUCCAAUGUGCAGAGAUCUCUUCAGCCUGGGGCAGUGAGACGCGUCAAGCUCGACAGAUGAUGGGAAAUUCUGCACAUACAGUAUAUAUUAAGCUCCUCGUGCAGUACAGGUUGAGACUUGAGAGCCCCAGCGAUAGAGGUGUUGUCGUGCAAGGCCCAAAAACCAAUCGACGAGCGGGAAGAGAUGAUAAUAAACAUACUUAUGCCAGACUUGAAGAGGGAAGAGAUGAACACAGGCACUGUGUUUUUGUUUUCUUCUAUGACAACUGAUUGUUGACAACUGUAGAUAUCCUCUCAUCGGACGGGCAGGCUGUAGCAACAACACUUUGUUUAAUCACCAUAUAUUUUGAUCC